AUAUCGCACCUUUAGAAUUAUAGAGACCUAAUUCAAAAUCAGGAUUUCGAGUUUGCGUGAUAAAAUCACUUUG